AUUUUUUUUGUGAAAAUACAAAAAUAUUUUCUAUAAAUACUUUUUACCUUUUUUUCAUGACUUUUGAAAAUCUAUAUUUUAUUUUUUAAAAAUUUAAAAAAAUUUAUCAGCAGUUACGGAGUUAAUGAAAGACGAAAUAAGCAAAUUACCCUUGCUUAUUAUAUAAAAAAAAAAUAAUUUUUUAAUAUAUUUAUGUCAUUUAAGAAAUGAACGAAAUAGUGAUGGAAUUCUGACGGAGGGGAUUAAAUGCAUCAACUCAAAAUUUUGAGAAGAUAAAAAAUAAAUUUUUAAAAGUCAGAAAGGAAAAGUAAAGAUAGAUAUUUACAGAAAAAUUUUAUGUAUUUCAAUAUUUUUUUAUUAUUAUAUCCCAACUAAAUAAUAAAUUUUUAAAUUUUUAAAUUUCUUUUUAAAAAAAUUAUUUCUAAUUUUAUUUU
rnacentral:lncRNA from 1 species